GAGAGCCCGGUACGGUGAAAGUCGCACGCCGGGUUCGGCGGGCGGGUCCGGGAAACGGUCCUGGAGCGAUCCAGGAACCGCGCCCGGGCCCGACCCGAC
rfam:Streptomyces aurantiacus JA 4570 Seq441, whole genome shotgun sequence.